rnacentral:rRNA from 1 species
UACGUAGGGUGCGAGCGUUUGUCCGGAAUUACUGGGCGUAAAGAGCUCGUAGGUGGUUUGUCGCGUUGUUCGUGAAAACUCACAGCUUAACUGUGGGCGUGCGGGCGAUACGGGCAGACUUGAGUACUGCAGGGGAGACUGGAAUUCCUGGUGUAGCGGUGGAAUGCGCAGAUAUCGGGAGGAACACCAAUGGCGAAGGCAGCUCGCUGGGACGGUACUGACGCUGAGGCGCGAAAGCGUGGGGAGCAAACAGGAUUAAGAAACCCC